rnacentral:snRNA from 1 species
GGCUAUGAGUGCAGUCUGACUGCGACUUGUCACCCCAUUGAUCACCAGGGUUGAUCUGGCUGAUCUGGCUGGCUACGUGGGUGUCCCCUUCCUCCCACACCACUCCUGUGCGGCCCUCCUGAAGCUGAGCGGAGUGGAAGAGGAUGACUUUCUCCCAUAGAGAAGGACCAUUCUUGGGUCAAGGAUAUAUGAGAAGCUUCAGUACCCUGCUAGAACCUCCAAACAAGCUCUUAAGGUCCAUUUCUGGGGCACAUAGGGUAGUCAAACUUCCAAAAAUCCAGACACAUCCGAACAAGUGCUACAUGUAGCAGUCUGCCUUUC